GGAAACUCCGCCCCCUGGUGUAGUUUGGAGGUCUAGCCCGCGUAAUACUAAACCGCGGCUGACAGUUUCUAUUGUAAAGUAGAAGCCUCUGGUAGCAGUGGUCCCAAAGUUCUACAUGGCAACAGUUGGCUGAUGCUGAGUGGUGUCGGCCCUUAGACCACAGCUGCCACAAUCCUUCCUGUAUUACACUUGCACCCCAGGUGAGUGAAUGGACUGAAUAUCUAGA